GAGGAGAAGUCGCUCGAGCGGGGAAGCGGCGGCCGUUAGGAAAAUGGCGCCGUGCGGCCCGGGGCAGACCCCCGUCACUGGUCACCGCCGCCUUCCUGGUGCAGCUGCUGUGUCACGGCCACACCGGCCGGCUGUACAGCAGGCAGGAGCCGGUGACCAUUCUGGAGGCGGAUGGGGUUAAGGACCUGUUUGGGAACUGGUCGGGCGCCUGGGUGGUGGAGUUCUACUGGUCGUGGGGCGGCCCCUGUGUCAACUAUGGGGCCACCUGGAAGGUACUGGGCCCGGGAGGUGAAAGGAUCAGAAGAUGGAAGUUUCAAAAUCAACAGACGAAGGCCUAAUGCCCAAAACGUUGACUCUCCUGCUCCUCGGAUGCUGCCUGACCUGCUGUGCUUUUCCAGCGCCGCAUUUUCUGACUCUGACUCUCCAGCGUCUGCAGUCCUUACUUUGACAUCCAUGUCUGACAGUCAUUCAAUCCAAUCCAUCGGGACCGCAACAGUUUGCAACUAUGAUUCUGUGAGGAGCAAAGCUGUUUGGUUCCUGUUUGGGUACGUUUUCAGCAUCAGUGGGACUGGAUGAGAGACCCUACCAUUACAGUGCACUGAGUGAGGAGCGUGCAACAGCUCUACGGUUUGGAAAGAGGAAUUCACGGUGGACAGAAGCUCCACAUGCGUUUGUGCGGCUGAAGCUUCGGCCAUGGAGAAACCCGAGGAAUCCCGCCCCGUGGAGAAACCAUGGAAGUGUGACGACUGUGGGAAAGGCUUGUUUCCCGUCUGCCCUGGAGACUCAUUGGCGCAGUCACACUGGGGAGAGGCCGUUCCCCUGCCCUGACUGCAGGAAGGACUUAAGCGAUUCCUCCAACCUCCAGACCCACCAGUGGAUCCACAUGGGGGAGAGGCCCUUAAGCUGCCCCGAGUGCGGGAAGGCCUUUACCCAGGCCGCCUCCUUGCUGACCUACCAGCGGGAUCACAUGGCAUUGCAGGAGGAUUGAAAGAAAGACGGCCGAGUGCCUUUACCAACUGGACUAUCAACCCAGUUCCAGUGGCGCCCGAGUUCGAUUCCCACAACAGAUGGCGGAAUUGGAAUUUGGUCAGAAAUCUGGAGUUCAGAAUCUAACGGUGAAACUAUUGUCGGUGG